rnacentral:rRNA from 1 species
CGGGACGGGUGAGUAAUGUCUGGGAAACUGCCUGAUGGAGGGGGGUAACUACUGGAAACGGUAGCUAAUACCGCAUAACUUCGCAAGACCAAAGAGGGGGACCUUCGGGCCUCUUGCCAUCGGAUGUGCCCAGAUGGGAUUAGCUAGUAGGUGGGGUAACGGCUCACCUAGGCGACGAUCCCUAGCUGGUCUGAGAGGAUGACCAGCCACACUGGAACUGAGACACGGUCCAG